CACAAUUUAAUUUUUAUUUGAGUUGAACAGCCAGAUAUCAAUGAUUUGUCAAUGGAAGAAGAGGUCUAUGAAAUAGUUGAGCUAUGCAUAAAUGAUGCUCUUGUUGAUGACCAAAUUACUCCACAAGCUCACCAGCCAUUUGAUUUGGAUAAUCCUAUGUUGGAAGACUAGUUUUUUAUAUUACUAUUAGAAUAUUUUUUUGUUAAGAAAACGUUACACAGAUUAAUUUUGUUGUUUCUGUUUUAGAAGUGCAAAACACAGCAAAUUUUACUCUCAGAAAAUUACAUUUAGCUCCAUUAGU